UACGGGGGGGGCAAGCGUUGUUCGGAAUUACUGGGCGUAAAGGGCUCGUAGGCGGCCAACUAAGUCGGAUGUGAAAUCCCCAGGCUUAACCUGGGAACUGCAUCCGAUACUGGAUGGCUUGAAUCCGGGAGAGGGAUGCAGAAUUCCAGGUGUAGCGGUGAAAUGCGUAGAGAUGUGGAGGAAUACCGAUGGCGAAGGCAGCCUCCUGGGCCAACACUGACGCUCAUGCACGAAAGCGUGGGGAGCAAACAGG
rnacentral:rRNA from 1 species